rnacentral:misc_RNA from 1 species
GUUUUACGGCCGGAACCCGCAGCACGCCCAGAGCGAGAUGUAUGCUACUACGCUCGGUGUGACAGCGAGCCCGCCACUGCUUUUCAGGGCCUGCGGCAGCCGCAGGUCCCCAACACAAGCCGGGGGCUUGAUGGUUGAAAUGACGCUCGAACAGGCAUGCCCGCCAGAAUACUGGCGGGCGCAAUGUGCGUUCAAAGAUUCGAUGAUUCACUGAAUUCUGCAAUUCACAUUACUUAUCGCAUUUCGCUGCGUUCUUCAUCGAUGCACCACAGACUAUAC